rnacentral:rRNA from 1 species
UGGCCUUGACAUACUAAGAACUUUCCAGAGAUGGAUUGGUGCCUUCGGGAACUUAGAUACAGGUGCUGCAUGGCUGUCGUCAGCUCGUGUCGUGAGAUGUUGGGUUUAAGUCCGCAACGAGCGCAACCCUUUUCCUUAUUUGCCAGCGGGUAAUGCCGGGAACUUUAAGGAUACUGCCAGUGACAAACUGGAGGAAGGCGGGGACGACGUCAAGUCAUCAUGGCCCUUACGGCCAGGGCUACACACGUGCUACAAUGGUCGGUACAAAGGGUUGCUACCUCGCGAGAGGAUGCUAAUCUCAAAAAGCCGAUCGUAGUCCGGAUCGCAGUCUGCAACUCGACUGCGUGAAGUCGGAAUCGCUAGUAAUCGCGGAUCAGAAUGCCGCGGUGAAUACGUUCCCGGGCCUUGUACACACCGCCCGUCACACCAUGGGAGUUUGUUGCACCAGAAGUAGGUAGUCUAACCGCAAGGAGGACGCUUACCACGGUGUGGCCGAUGACUGGGGUGAAGUCGUAACAAGGUAAGCGUAGAUGA